rnacentral:rRNA from 1 species
CCCUUAGAUGUUCUGGGCCGCACGCGCGCUACACUGAUGCAUUCAACGAGUUUCUUCCUGGUCCGAGAGGAAUGGGUAACCUUUUGAAAGUGCAUCGUGAUAGGGAUAGACUAUUGCAAUUAUUGGUCUUCAACGAGGAAUUCCUAGUAGACGUAGUUCAUCAGACUGCAUCGAUUACGUCCCUGCCCUUUGUACACACCGCCCGUCGCUGCCCGGAACUGAGCCGUUUCGAGAAGACUGGGGACUGCGAACUUUGGGCUGGAAAACAGCUUUUUGUUUGUGGAAGCCACUUUAAUCGCAGCGGCUUGAACCGGGCAAAAGUCGUAACA